AGUGAAGAGAGUCACUGCAAUAAAGAUGCAGUAAACUACAACAGCUGGUGUGUUGUUUGGUUCAGCACUACCUAUCACAACCCAGACUUGCUGUGGGCUUUUAUAACUUGUGGAGAUAGAAAAGUAUGGACAAAAAGACGAACAAGUCAAGGACCUUUUCCCUGUUAAGCUCACAGUUUACAGGAAUUCAACCUCCUCAAUGAAGGAUGUACAUUUUCAAUAAUAUGAUCCCACUGAGACAUCUCUGCUGGAGGGGGCAGUUAAAUGUA